rnacentral:rRNA from 1 species
UACCAGCUCUCCGAGUGGUAGGGAUGAUUAUUGGGCUUAAAGCGUUCGUAGCCGGCUUAGCAAGUCUCCUGUUAAAUUCAGCGACCUAAUCGUUGAGCCGCGGGAGAUACUACUGGGCUAGGAGGCGGGAGAGGUCGACGGUACUUCUGGGGUAGGGGUGAAAUCCUAUAAUCCCGGGAGGACCACCAGUGGCGAAGGCUGUCGACUAGAACGCGCUCGACGGUGAGGGACGAAAGCUGGGGGAGCGAACCGGAUUAGAUACCCGGGUAGUCCCAGCUGUAAACGAUGCGGGCUAGGUGUUGGGGUGGCUACGUGCCACUUCAGUGCCGCAGGGAAGCCAUUAAGCCCGCCGCCUGGGGAGUACGGCCGCAAGGCUGAAACUUAAAGGAAUUGGCGGGGGAGCACCACAAGGCGUGAAGCUUGCGGUUC